CCUGGCGGCUGUAGCGCGGUGGUCCCACCUGACCCCAUGCCGAACUCGAAGUGAAACGCCGUAGCGCCGAUGGUAGUGUGGGGUCUCCCCAUGUGAGAGUAGGGAACUGCCAGGC
rnacentral:rRNA from 1 species